rnacentral:rRNA from 1 species
UACGGAGGAGGCAAGCGUUAUCCGGAAUUACUGGGCGUAAAGCGCGCGUAGGCGGCUUUGCAAGUCGGGUGUGAAAUCCCCAGGCUUAACCUGGGAACUGCAUUCGAGACUGCAUUGCUAGAGUAUGGGAGAGGGAAGUGGAAUUUCCGGUGUAGCGGUGAAAUGCGUAGAUAUCGGAAGGAACAUCAGUGGCGAAAGCGACUUCCUGGACCAAUACUGACGCUCAUGUGCGAAAGCGUGGGGAGCAAACAGG